AUUGAACGCUGGCGGCAGGCCUAACACAUGCAAGUCGCACGAGUGGCGGACGGGUGUGUAAUGUCUGGGAAACUGCCUGAUGGAGGGGGAUAACUACUGGAAACGGUAGCUAAUACCGCAUACCAUCAGAUGGGCCCAGAUGGGAUUAGCUGGUUGGUGGGGCAACGGCUCACCAAGGCGACGAUCCCUAGCGGGUCUGAGAGGAUGACCAGCGACACUGGAACUAAGACAAGGUCCAUACUCCUACGUGGGGCAGCAGUGGGGAAUGUUGCGCAAUUGGCGCAAGCCUGAUGCAGCCAUGCCGCGUGUAUGAAGCAGGCCUUCGAGUUGUAAAGGACUUUCAGCGGGGAGGCGUUACCCGCAGAAGAAGCACCGGCUAACUCCGUGCCAGCAGCCGCGGUAAUAC
rnacentral:rRNA from 1 species